rnacentral:rRNA from 1 species
UACGGAGGGUGCGAGCGUUGUUCGGAAUCACUGGGCGUAAAGCGCGUGUAGGCGGCUUCUUAAGUCCGAUGUGAAAGCCCGGGGCUCACCCCCGGAAGUGCAUUGGAUACUGGGAAGCUGGAGUACCGGAGAGGAGAGUGGAACUCCUGGUGUAGCGGUGGAAUGCGCAGAUAUCAGGAAGAACACCGGUGGCGAAGGCGGCUCUCUGGGCCUUACCUGACGCUGAGGAGCGAAAGCGUGGGUAGCGAACAGG